UUAACAAUGUGCUUCUAGACUCUUGCCACCCAAAAGGGUCACCUGCUGCCUGAGUGACUUUCGAUUGGUGCACUGAGCAGAGGCACACGGAGCCUUCAGAAGCUGGAGUCCUGCCAAAUCUCAACAGACAGCAGAAAUGAGAGGCAGAAAUUCUGUAAGUGAAAUCUCUAUGGCACUCGGCGCCAGCACCUCCACUGUUCCCUCACUUUUCUUGUUUUGGGCACAUUAAACAGGCUCUACCCUGACCCACGUUCUGACUCCUAUAACAAGAGCUCCUGUCUCAGCGUGAAAAAUUUACUGUCGCCUCUACUUCUCAUUGAGCUGGAGUGAGGACUUCUGUCACCUUCAGUGAGCUGAGUCCAGAGAUUUAACUAAACAACAGUUCCAAUUUAAAAACCACCUUAGUGUGUUUUCCAUAAAGCGGGUGGCAUUCGGAGGCAUCUGUUUCCAAAUGGCACAGUUGUCUACAAAGUGAACUCUUUGUGCUACGUUUAAUUCAGAGCAACACCGAGGCCCCAAAACUCACUUAUUGAUGUGGCGCCACGAAGAACAUGAAGCGCUCAUUAAUACUACAGACUUGGAGGGCUAUGUGUUUAUUAUUGGUAGCCAUUAGAAGCCUGAAGAUGAUGGGGUACUUAAGUCAUUUUGAAGGUUACUUGAAAAUAGAAAUUCCAACUACCCAAUGAAAAAUAUUGUCCCUCAUAGGUACUGGCUAAAUCCUUCCAUGUUUAGCCUCAGAAAUACAAAAGCAUGCAAACACACAAUAAAGACAUCAGAUUAAA